AGGACGAACGCUGGCGGCGUGCUUAACACAUGCAAGUCGAGCGACGCUCCUCCUUCGGGAGGAUGACGGAGCGGCGAACGGGUGAGUAACACGUGGGCAACCUGCCCCUAGCUCUGGGAUAAGCCCGGGAAACCGGGUCUAAUACCGGAUAUGAAGUCGAAAGGCAUCUUUUUGACUUGGAAAGUUUUUUCGGCUAGGGAUGGGCCCGCGGCCUAUCAGCUUGUUGGUGAGGUAACGGCCCACCAAGGCGACGACGGGUAGCCGGCCUGAGAGGGCGACCGGCCACACUGGGACUGAGACACGGCCCAGACUCCUACGGGAGGCAGCAGUGGGGAAUAUUGCACAAUGGGCGAAAGCCUGAUGCAGCGACGCCGCGUGAGGGAUGACUGCCUUCGGGUUGUAAACCUCUUUCAGCAGGGACGAAGCGAAGUGACGGUACCUGCAGAAGAAGCACCGGCCAACUACGCGCCAGCAGCCGC
rnacentral:rRNA from 1 species